rnacentral:rRNA from 1 species
AUUGAACGCUAGCGGGAUGCCUUACACAUGCAAGUCGAACGGAGUGGCGAACGGGUGAGUAAUGUAUCGGAACGUGCCCAGUCGUGGGGGAUAACUACGCGAAAGCGUAGCUGAUGCUGAAUACUCUUGGAGCGGCCGAUAUCGGAGUAGCCAGUUGGUGGGGUAACGGGUAACCCAGGCGACGAUCCGUAGCUGGUUUGAGAGGACGACCAGCCACACUGGAACUGAGACACGGCCCAGACUCCUACGGGAGGCAGCAGUGGGGAAUUUUGGACAAUGGGGGAAACCCUGAUCCAGCCAUGCCGCGUGUGCGAUGAAGGCCUUCGGGUUGUAAAGCACUUUUGGCAGGAAAGCGGUACCUGCAGAAGAAGCACCGGCUAACUACGUGCCAGCCGCCGCGGUAAUAC